rnacentral:rRNA from 1 species
UACGCAGGGGGCUAGCGUUGCUCGGAAUCACUGAGCGUAAAGCGCACGUAGGCGGAUUGUUAAGUCAGGGGUGAAAUCCUGGAGCUCAACUCCAGAACUGCCUUUGAUACUGGCGAUCUCGAGUCCGGGAGAGGUGAGUGGAACUGCGAGUGUAGAGGUGAAAUUCGUAGAUAUUCGCAAGAACACCAGUGGCGAAGGCGGCUCACUGGCCCGGUACUGACGCUGAGGUGCGAAAGCGUGGGGAGCAAACAGG